rnacentral:snRNA from 1 species
AUACCUUUCUCGGCCUUUUGGCUAAGAUCAAGUGUAGUAUCUGUUCUUAUCAGUUUAAUAUCUGAUACGUGGUUCAUAGAAACACAUGAUAUUAAAUGUAUUUUUCUAGGGAAAGGGCCCACUCACAAUAGCUUGCUAUUGGGGCUCUAACCGCUUGCAGUUUCAUUGUGCAUUAAUGAAAGAGGUAUAACGUUGU